rnacentral:rRNA from 1 species
UACGUAGGGAGCAAGCGUUGUUCGGAUUUACUGGGCGUAAAGGGCGCGUAGGCGGCGGAUUAAGUCAGCUGUGAAAUCUCCGAGCUUAACUCGGAACUGUCAGCUGAUACUGUUUUGCUAGAGUGCGGAAGGGGCAAUCGGAAUUCUUGGUGUAGCGGUGAAAUGCGUAGAUAUCAAGAGGAACGCCUGAGGUGAAGACGGGUUGCUGGGCCGACACUGGCGCUGAGUGCGCGAAAGCCAGGGGAGCAAACGGG